CACACACACACACACACACACACACACACACACACACACACGCAGUGUGAAAGAUGCGAGCCAUAGCAUCUCGUAACAUGAAGGCCAUCCAGCUCCAUCCUCCCACUGCUGCUUGAACAAUAUGCUUAACACGUAGUGCCGCAGUCGCUGCUUGGAUUGAAUGUGUUCAUGCACAGAUUUUAUCAUCUUGUUACUCAAACGACUGAUGGCUUCUGACCCUGCCUGAAAAUUUCCUAAGAGGUAACAGUUCUAGGACACAGAUGCUGGAGGGAGUGGAGGAAGAAGUUUAAUUACCACAUACAGCUCUUCCAUAUGCAAGGUCUCUGGGGCAAAACUGUCAUUCUGUCUGAAGCCAGACCCUCAAUGUCAGACUAAGAGAGUCGGAUGGAGACUACAUCUUCUGUGUGUGUUGCAAUGGGAGGACUUCUCUCCACCGAGUUUAGUGAGGGGGUUCUUGAAGAGGACUGCCAGAAGCACUGGGGAAAGGCCACAAGGAAAAGGAAACCUCCAGCCGAGCCCUUUGGGUUGAGUGGAAGCUGGGUGAGGCCUGUGACUGCUAGCUUUCCCCCACUUCCCUGACAGCCUGU
rnacentral:lncRNA from 1 species